GUCUCUAGAGUAGUUGUAGUCCUGGACUCGAGACGAACGCUGGCGGCGUGCUUAACACAUGCAAGUCGAACGGAAAGGCCCUGCUUUUGUGGGGUGCUCGAGUGGCGAACGGGUGAGUAACACGUGAGUAACCUGCCCUUGACUUUGGGAUAACUUCAGGAAACUGGGGCUAAUACCGGAUAGGAGCUCCUGCUGCAUGGUGGGGGUUGGAAAGUUUCGGCGGUUGGGGAUGGACUCGCGGCUUAUCAGCUUGUUGUGGGGUAGUGGCUUACCAAGGCUUUGACGGGUAGCCGGCCUGAGAGGGUGACCGGCCACAUUGGGACUGAGAUACGGCCCAGACUCCCACGGGAGGCAGCAGUGGGGAAUAUUGCACAAUGGGCGGAAGCCUGAUGCAGCAACGCCGCGUGCGGGAUGACGGCCUUCGGGUUGUAAACCGCUUUCGCCUGUGACGAAGCGUGAGUGACGGUAAUGGGUAAAGAAGCACCGGCUAACUACGUG
rnacentral:rRNA from 1 species